AGAACGAACGCUGGCGGCAGGCCUCAAACAUGCAAGUCUAGGGGGCGUAGCAAUACGUCACCGGCGGACGGGUGCGUAACACGUGGGAAUGUACUUACUGGUUCGGAACAACUCAGGGAAACUUGAGCUAAUACCGAAUGAGCCCGAAAGGGGAAAGAUUUAUCGCCCAGUAAAUCAGCCCGCGUCCGAUUAGCUAGUUGGUGGGGUAAAGGCCCACCAAGGCGACGAUCGGUAGCUGUUCUGAGAGGAAGAUCAGCCACACUGGGACUGAGACACGGCCCAGACUCCUACGGGAGGCAGCAGUUGGGAAUCUUGGACAAUGGGGAAACCCUGAUCCAGCCAUGCCGCGUGAGUGAUGAAGGCCUUAGGGUUGUAAAACUCUUUCGACGGGGACGAUAAUGACGGUACCCGUAGAAGAAGCUCCGGCUAACUUCGUGCCAGCAGCCGC
rnacentral:rRNA from 1 species